rnacentral:rRNA from 1 species
UACGGAGGGAGCGAACGUUGUUCGGAUUUACUGGGCGUAAAGGGUGUGUAGGCGGUCUUGCAAGUCAGGGGUGAAAUCUCUCGGCUCAACCGAGAAACUGCCUUUGAGACUGCAGGACUUGAGGGCGUGAGAGGAGACUGGAAUUCCUAGUGUAGCGGUGAAAUGCAUAGAUAUUAGGAGGAACACCAGUGGCGAAGGCGAGUCUCUGGCACGCAUCUGACGCUGAGACACGAAAGCCAGGGGAGCGAACGGG